ACUGCUUAUAUUUUUGGUAGGGACUGUUAGGCAAACUUAGAGAGACAUGAGCCCAACAACUCUGGCUUUACCGUCGGCGGGGGGAGCAGCUUCAGCCUGUUCUCCCCUCAAUCGCCCCACGGCCCCAAUAUCUUCGGCUCUUCGUUGUGUAGAUAUCACCGCGAAUGCUACGAUGAUGUUGUCGAAGAAAUCUCUUGUAUCCCCUUCAUCAUCAUCGUCAUCUUCUUCUUCUAUUUCUUCGGCGGUGGUGGCUGCUGCUUGUACCAACGUUGAUAAUGGUGCGAUGAUGAUGAUUUGCUCCAUCAAAGGUCGCUACUGCUACUCAACUAUCCCCGCUAGUAUAAUGAUAAUAGGGAGGAGGAGGAAGAGGUUGAUUUCAUGCGAUAUAGCAUUGAGAUCCAGCAAUUCGGCGACACCAUCUUUAUCCUCGUCGUCAACAACAGUCACCCAAGGAGAAGAAGAGGGAGAAGAAACUGAUAAGAAGAUUGGGGCGAGGGUUAGAGUGAAAGUUCCCUUGAAGGUUUACCACGUGCCUCGGGUGCCCGAAGUAGAUCUGACUGGGAAAGAAGGUCAUCUCAAGCAGUACGUUGCCCUCUGGAAAGGCAAACGAAUAUCCGCCAAUCUACCUUACAAGGUGGAGUUCGUGGUGGACAUUGAAGGCCGUGGCCCUGUCAAAUUCUUUGCCCAUCUCAAGGAGGACGAAUUUGACUACCUUGAAUAGCAUUUUGCAAUCUCAUUUGCUUUGCUGCUUCUCCUGUCAGACCAGGCAAAUACUCCUCUCUUACCACUUCUUUAUAUUAUCUCUUCACCUAAUCAUACCCAAGCGUUGUGUGGUGUAGUGUUGUAUGUAGUUUACUUGCUUAAUUGUUGUUCUUAUUUUCUCUUUUUUUUUUUUUCUCAAUUGUUGUUCUUAUUUUCCCACCUUAUAUUCUUCUGUAUCUGUAUAAGAAUUUAUGCUGACCUGCUUCUUGGACAUUUGAUUUUGAGAUAUCCGUGAAGCAACAAUAUGUGAUCGAGAAAACGCUUCUCUCGAAUACGUUUUCCAUAUUUUAUUGUCCCGUGUUAUAUAAAUAAAUCAAUGCUCUUUUGCUGUUUCUCCAAGCAAUUUUUUCUUCAACCCAUUACUCAUGUGUGGUACUCCAUUGUUUUGUUUGGAUUGCUUGUUCCCUUUCCUUUUUAGUUUUUACAAUACUUACAAUUUAUGUGUACCUUUUCUUUUGUCAUUUCUCUGAGGCUUUGCUUCUAUUUCUGAAUACUGAAUUUAAAAUAUCUAUCUAUCCAUUUACAGAUUUAUGUUUAGACAAACAUCAAUGAUAUAAAUUAUGGCAUCAAGAGAGCGUUUGCUUAAUUGAGCUCUUAAUACGUUUUCACCAUUUUGCUGCAAGUAUAUGAUUUGGUAAUAUACUUUUAGUCCUACAGCGUUUAAUAUUACUCUUAAUGACGAAAAUGAGUGGAAUAUGAGUAUGCAUCAGCAAUUAAUUUUGCUGUAAUGGGAACUUUAUUGAAACCAAGACUGACUAUCUUCUUCCGUAUAGCUUCAGUUUCUGUUAGAAUAAACACUUCCUUCGUUCAUCUUUUUUCGUUCCACUGUAACUUACCAUGUUGGAUCACUGGUCAACAUGAAGCUAAUGCUGGCGGUCUUCAGGAAAAUCAUCCUUUGUGUGCCUGGUGUUCCAGCCAAUCCUGUUGGAUGGGCAGCAGUUUUGAAAGUUGCAGAUUUUGUCUUCUGGGCUUGAGCAUGUAUCCUGUUAUUGUAGUGUUGUCUUGAGAAAUUAAAAUUUUAAAGUCUUUAAGACUCUGCAGUUUUAUAUGUUGGACAAUAGGCUAAAGUUCUGGUCAUCUAAUGUUGAAGUGAUGAUCGUAAUCUAAUUUUGGAUAGUUCUAUGGAGCUAGAUUCUUUCAUAUGGCUGUCAAGUGCAAGCUCAAGUGGUUGGAAUUCAGUGACUGCAUCAGUGCAUAUUCAAGUGGUUAGAUUUGUUCAUAAUCUGUUCCAAGUAAAUUAUCAAAGUUUUCUUUCAGCCUAAUUGAAGUCCUCGUGUCACCCCUUGGUAAAUUGAAUGCUCCAAGUUCAGAGAUUUUUUGUCAUUUCUCUUGACAGAACAGAGCUUUUUGUUUUGACUUCAGACCCAUGAUUUUGGCAGUCAAUGACUUGUUCGACUUCACUUUAGUGUUGAUUCUGUGGUUCUUUAAACAUAAUUUCUCCGGCCUCCUCAAUUGACCAUCUUGAAGCUUUUUAUGUAUUGUGAGAGUUACAUUUCCUAACUGGUUAGUCAUUUUGGAGAGGUGGUCAAAUAUGUAGGAUAUGAUCUGUUUAUUUUGCAGCUUCUCUUUGGGCAUCAAUUACUUGUCAUGCUUUUCUAAUUCCAUUCUCUUUGGAUGCGCCUUCAUUGUAGGCCUUGUCACCACCAGCCACUAGGAUCUUUGAUGCAGACACCAAGGAAACUUCAUAUAUAGGUCAUGAUUACCUAAGCUUGUAAUGCUUUAUUAUUUAGUUUUUUAGUGAAUAAAAUCCCUGCAAUUGUGCUUCUUGAGUUGAAUGGUGUAAUUAUAGUUCUAGAAAGUUUGAGGCCUUCUCGAUAGGAAUAAGCCCCGGACGUGCUUUUGUUUGCUUACUAUUUCCUUUCGCGAAGAUUACAAAAUCUGCAGUCAUCUUCAAGCCAGAAUUUCCUGAGAUCGACAAUUUCACAGUUUUUCUUUGUUUUAAAGUCUUCCUAAUUGUUCUCAAUUACUUGUGCUGCUGAUACUUUGAGCAACGAAAGUUGAUGACUCGGUCCAUGUUGUAAUUCACCAAGGCACUUCCGGUUCUUAUUACCACUGUUUUGAGUUGGCCUAGUAGCUUAUGACUGGACGACUUAACAUGUUUUAUGUGAGAAUCUAGCUCCGUAUUAAGAUACAAUGCAAUAUAAUAAUUAUAUAUACCCCACAAAAUAUUUCUUUAAUAAAUAAUAAUGUGAGUUAUCAACACACCCAAAACAAUUAUAAUCCGAUCAAUAUAACGAAAUUUAACCCACUAUCAAGAGUACAAGAUAAAUUUCAUGGUAUUGAUUUGAUUUUUUAAAAAAAAAAAGAUUUUCUUCCAUGGGCUAAACCUCGAAAUAUUUGUAAAGUAAUCGCGAUGUUAAAUUAAUGAUGGGAAGUCGCAUUAAAAACAAAUGUUGAUAGACUCGAAAGUCUAUACUUGGACUUAGUCUGCUGCUUAAGUUUUUUAUUUGCUGUAAUAUUAUUCAUUUAUUAAUUGUCAUUUAAUAAGUCAAAUCAGUGCUUGAUUCUCUCAGCAGAUCAUGGCUAAUAUAUUUCAGAAAGUGCCGUUGGUGGCCUUAGAAAUAGGA
rnacentral:misc_RNA from 1 species